UCUUUUGUAGCAAUUGUUGUGGCAUUUGUGUAUUGCCAAUUGCAUGAUCACUUUAGCAGCAAGGAUAUAUUGUUGUCCUUAUUCAAUAGAGCAAUUGGACUCAACGAUGCUCCAAUCUGCCACAACAUUGCAGGGUAUCUAGAUUGACUCAUUUUCCCUGGCUUUGUAAAGAUUUCAGCCUGAUGAGAAUCCUACUUCCUUGUCCAAUUAUGUUCCCACCCUUGAAGGCUUUUCAAAAUGGGGGCAGUACUAGUUUCUACAGGUUCACGGGAGCUAUGUUACUGUCUGUCUGAGAUUGCUAAAUAAUGACAAUGACUGCUUCUGAUGAUUCCUCUCACCAAGAAGAGCUGGACGACGAAACAGUUUUUGAUGUUAUUUUACAUAGGGACAUACAGACCUAUACAUUUCAGCUGGAAUAAACAGAAGAGGAAUUGAUACAGCGACAACAAGAACUGCGAGACCAGCAAGCAGCGAUUGGGAGUCACGGUCAGACUUCAACUCAUGGUGCCUAUGUGGGUGCUCUCCAGCCAUGCCGAUGGAAGAGGAAUGUUUGCGCUAAAACGAAUUCGAUCGCCAACAGUUCUCACUGGAGAGGGUCAGUGCAGACCCAAUGCAUGGUUUGUGCGUGUGUGUGACAGACCAUCGAAGUUUCGCACAUAUGGAUAGACGGGUACUGGAUACUUUCUUCAAAACUUCCAAGAUCAACUGGCGGUGUCAGCCUAGACCAACUGGACCAGGAGGACAAAUGAACAAUACCGUUUGGUGGCCUCCAGAUUUAUUUUUGGAGUCUGUUCUACGUGGGAAGAAGCUAGGCAGAGGACACUGAAUCCCCUUGUCUGGGUGUGUUGUUGGUGGCCAUUCAAGCAAUUUAUCCCUCACACAAUGGACAGUAGGUUGGAUACAAAGAAGUUGAUGACCCGAGGAGAUGUGAAAGGUCCCAUAACAACAAUCCCUCCUUGUAUUAAAGUGACUCCGAACACCUCACUGCACCCACCAAACACACCAUAUGCAAGUAUUCCCUUUGUAGAACUGUAGUAUACAGUACCAGUCAAAAGUUUGGACACCUAGUUGUUCAAGGGUUUGUCUAUAUUUUAUCACUAUUUUCUAAAUUGUAGAAUAAUAGUGAAGACAUCAAAACUAUGAAAUAACACAUAUGGAUUCAUGUAGUAACCUAAAAAGUGUUAAACAAAUCAAAAUAUAUUAAGAUUUUGGAUUCUUCAAAGUAGCCACCCUUUGCAUUGAUGACAGCUUUGCACACUCCUGGCAUUCUCUCAACCAGCUUCAUGGGACAGACACCUGGAAUGCAUUUCACUUAACAGGUGUGCCUUGUUAAAAGUUAAUUUGUGGAAUGUCUUUCCUUAAUGCACACUCUUGGCAUGCUCUCAACCAGCUUCAUAGUUUUGAUGUCUUCACUAUAAUUUCCAAUGUAGAAAAUAGUGCAAAUAAAGAAAAACCCUUGAAUGAGUAGGUGUGUCCAAACUUUUGACUGGUACUGUAAUUAUAAGCAUUAGUAGUAUAUUUUACUGCUACUAUAUAUAUGUGAUAAAUUGCCAUAACUGUUCCUGCAUACUGCUGUGUAAACUCACCUCGAUCUCCAGAGCAAAUAAACUUUGAAUUGAAUACAA